UCCCCAGAUUUAUAUGGUACAUACUGAACACAUGACAAAGGGUCCUAUGUUCCCCAGAUGUAUAUGGUACAUACUGAACACAUGACAAAGGGUCCUAUGUUCCCCAGAUGUAUAUGGUACAUACUGAACACAUGACAAAGGGUCCUAUGUUCCACAGAUUUAUAUGAUACAUACUGAACACAUGACAAAGGGUCCUAUGUUCCCCAGAUUUAUAUGGUACAUACUGAACACAUGAAAAAGGGGUCCUAUGUUCCCCAGAUUUAUAUGGUACAUACUGAACACAUGACAAAGGGUCCUAUAUUCCCCAGAUUUAUAUGGUACAUAAUGAACACAUGACAAAGGGUCCUAUGUUCCCCAGAUUUAUAUGGUACAUACUGAACACAUGACAAAGGGUCCUAUGUUCCCCAGAUGUAUAUGGUACAUACUGAACACAUGACAAAGGGUCCUAUGUUCCCCAGAUGUAUAUGGUACAUACUGAACACAUGACAAAGGGUCCUAUGUUCCCCAGAUUUAUAUGGUACAUAAUGAACACAUGACAAAGGGUCCUAUGUUCCCCAGAUUUAUAUGGUACAUACUGAACACAUGACAAAGGGUCCUAUGUUCCACAGAUUUAUAUGGUACAUACUGAACACAUGACAAAGGGUCCUAUGUUCCCCAGAUUUAUAUGAUACAUAAUGAACACAUGACAAAGGUUCCUAUGUUCCCCAGAUUUAUAUGGUACAUACUGAACACAUGAAAAAGGGGUCCUAUGUUCCACAGAUUUAUAUGGUACAUACUGAACACAUGACAAAGGGUCCUAUGUUCCCCAGAUUUAUAUGGUACGUAAUGAACACAUGACAAAGGGUCCUAUGUUCCCCAGAUUUAUAUGGUACAUACUGAACACAUGACAAAGGGUCCUAUGUUCCCCAGAUUUAUAUGGUACAUACUGAACACAUGACAAAGGGUCCUAUGUUCCCCAGAUUUAUAUGAUACAUAAUGAACACAUGACAAAGUGUCCUAUGUUCCCCAGAUGUAUAUGGUACGUACUGAACACAUGACAAAGGGUCCUAUGUUCCACAGAUUUAUAUGGUACAUACUGAACACAUAAAAAAGGGGUCCUAUGUUCCCCAGAUUUAUAUGGUACAUACUGAACACAUGACAAAGGGUCCUAUGUUCCCCAGAUUUAUAUGGUACAUACUGAACACAUGACAAAGGGUCCUAUGUUCCCCAGAUUUAUAUGGUACAUACUGAACACAUGACAAAGGGUCCUAUGUUCCACAGAUUUAUAUGGUACAUACUGAACACAUGACAAAGGGUCCUAUGUUCCCCAGAUUUAUAUGGUACAUACUGAACACAUGACAAAGGGUCCUAUGUUCCACAGAUUUAUAUGACACAUAAUGAACACAUGACAAAGGGUCCUAUGUUCCCCAGAUGUAUACGGUACAUACUGAACACGACAAAGGGUCCUAUGUUCCACAGAUUUAUAUGGUACAUACUGAACACAUGAAAAAGGGGUCUUAUGUUCCACAGAUUUAUAUGGUACAUACUGAACACAUGACAAAGGGUCCUAUGUUCCCCAGAUUUAUAUGGUACAUACUGAACACAUGACAAAGGGUCCUAUGUUCCACAGAUUUAUAUGAUACAUAAUGAACACAUGACAAAGGGUCCUAUGUUCCACAGAUUUAUAUGAUACAUAAUGAACACAUGACAAAGGGUCCUAUGUUCCCCAGAUUUAUAUGGUACAUACUGAACACAUGACAAAGGGUUCUAUGUUCCACAGAUUUAUAUCGUUCAUACUGAACACAUGACAAAGGGUCCUAUGUUCCACAG